GUGUGACAUUUGAACAUGACAGAGAAGCUCAGUGAUCCGGAGCAUAAAUUAACCACAGGGGAAAGUGUUGCAACAGGCCAGUCACCUGCUUCAGGUUGCUGUCUGAGGGAAAGGAAAAACCUGUCUUUGCGGUCAGCCAGUGAACAAGCAAGCCCGUGACCCUGCCUGAGGGCCAGCUGCCAGCUCCAGUAUCAAAGGGCCACUAGUUGACAAGGAGAAGAUGUUGGCAAUCCAUAUGACUGUCAGAGGAUUUGUAUCCAGGAUAUGUGAAGAACUAUGUAUCGGGUUAGAAAAGGCAAACAACUUAAUGGAAAAUGGACAAAAGACUCGAACAGCAGAGGAAACACGAGUGGCCAAUAAGCACAUGAAAAGAUGUUCAACCUCAUCAGUAACGGGAAAUGCAGGUUCGGAUCGCAGUACCACUAUUUUACACCCGGUAGUGGGUUGGUAACAUUUAAAAGACUGACGGUCUCAAGUGUUGGAGAGGUUGUGGGUCAGCAGAAUCCUUAAACGUUGCCAGUGGGAGCUGCUUCAUUUGCAACCACUUUGGAAAACACUUGUCUCAUAAAAUUGAAUAUUUGUGUACCUCACUAGCCAAGGAUCUCUCUCCUAAGCACGCACCUGGGAAAAAUACUUCCGCGUGUGGUCAGGAGACAGACAGCAGCCGUGUGCAAAGGCCGUGUUCACAAUAUCCAACUACCCACUUACCGGGGAAAGAGGAAACGCGUCGGGAUGUGUAGCUCAUGCAGCAAGCGUGGAAAAGGUGCCUCCCAUGGUGUGAGCAGACUCCGUGUUCCAUUUCUUAGGUCUCA